rnacentral:piRNA from 1 species
GCAGCUAUGAAAACCUCUAUAAUAUCA